CUAUGCCACCCUGAAUGCACCCCCUUAUCUGAUCUCAGAAGCUGAGCAGAGCCACGCCUUGUUACUAUUUGGAUGGGAGUCGGCCUGGGAAUACAGGGUACCAUAGG
rnacentral:rRNA from 1 species